rnacentral:rRNA from 1 species
ACGCUGGCGGCGUGCCUAAUACAUGCAAGUAGAACGCUGAAGCUUGGUGCUUGCACCGAGCGGAUGAGUUGCGAACGGGUGAGUAACGCGUAGGUAACCUGCCUGGUAGCGGGGGAUAACUAUUGGAAACGAUAGCUAAUACCGCAUAACAGUAGAUGUUGCAUGACAUUUGCUUGAAAGGGGCAAUUGCUCCACUACCAGAUGGACCUGCGUUGUAUUAGCUAGUUGGUGAGGUAACGGCUCACCAAGGCGACGAUACAUAGCCGACCUGAGAGGGUGAUCGGCCACACUGGGACUGAGACACGGCCCAGACUCCUACGGGAGGCAGCAGUAGGGAAUCUUCGGCAAUGGACGGAAGUCUGACCGAGCAACGCCGCGUGAGUGAAGAAGGUUUUCGGAUCGUAAAGCUCUGUUGUGAGAGAAGAACGAGUGUGAGAGUGGAAAGUUCACACUGUGACGGUAACUUACCAGAAAGGGACGGCUAACUACGUGCUAGCAGCCGCGGUAAUACGUAGGUCCCGAGCGUUAUCCGGAUUUAUUGGGCGUAAAGCGAGCGCAGGCGGUUAGAUAAGUCUGAAGUUAAAGGCUGUGGCUUAACCAUAGUACGCUUUGGAAACUGUUUAACUUGAGUGCAGAAGGGGAGAGUGGAAUUCCAUGUGUAGCGGUGAAAUGCGUAGAUAUAUGGAGGAACACCGGUGGCGAAAGCGGCUCUCUGGUCUGUAACUGACGCUGAGGCUCGAAAGCGUGGGGAGCAAACAGGAUUAGAUACCCUGGUAGUCCACGCCGUAAACGAUGAGUGCUAGGUGUUGGGUCCUUUCCGGGACUCAGUGCCGCAGCUAACGCAUUAAGCACUCCGCCUGGGGAGUACGACCGCAAGGUUGAAACUCAAAGGAAUUGACGGGGGCCCGCA